UGCGAGUCACAUGUUCUUCGUGAACAUGGCGUACUGCUCAGUAACACGUGGAUAACCUGCCCUUGGGACCGGGAUAACCCCGGGAAACUGGGGAUAAUACCGGAUAACGCAUAUCUGCUGGAAUGCUUUAUGCGUAAAAUGGAUUUGUCUGCCCAAGGAUGGGUCUGCGGCCUAUCAGGUAGUAGUGGGUGUAAUGUACUUACUAGCCUACGACGGGUACGGGUUGUGAGAGCAAGAGCCCGGAGAUGGAUUCUGAGACAUGAAUCCAGGCCCUACGGGGCGCAGCAGGCGCGAAAACUUUACAAUGCGGGAAACCGUGAUAAGGGGACACCGAGUGCCAGCAUCAUAUGUUGGCUGUCCAGAUGUGUAAAAUACAUCUGUUAGCAAGGGCCGGGCAAGACCGGUGCCAGCCGCCGCGGUAACACCGGCGGCCCGAGUGGUGAUCGUGAUUAUUGGGUCUAAAGGGUCCGUAGCCGGUUUGGUCAGUCCUCCGGGAAAUCUGACGGCUCAACCGUUAGGCUUUCGGUGGAUACUGCCAGACUUGGAACCGGGAGAGGUAAGAGGUACUACAGGGGUAGGAGUGAAAUCUUGUAAUCCCUGUGAGACCACCUGUGGCGA
rnacentral:rRNA from 1 species